AUUGAACGCUGGCGGCAUGCCUUACACAUGCAAGUCGAACGGUAACAGGUCUUCGGAUGCUGACGAGUGGCGAACGGGUGAGUAAUACAUCGGAACGUGCCCAGACGUGGGGGAUAACGAGGCGAAAGCUUUGCUAAUACCGCAUACGAUCUAAGGAUGAAAGCAGGGGACCGCAAGGCCUUGCGCGUUUGGAGCGGCCGAUGGCAGAUUAGGUAGUUGGUGGGAUAAAAGCUUACCAAGCCGACGAUCUGUAGCUGGUCUGGGAGGACGACCAGCCACACUGGGACUGAGACACGGCCCAGACUCCUACGGGAGGCAGCAGUGGGGAAUUUUGGACAAUGGGCGAAAGCCUGAUCCAGCAAUGCCGCGUGCAGGAUGAAGGCCUUCGGGUUGUAAACUGCUUUUGUACGGAACGAAAAGGCUCUGGCUAAUACCUGGGGCACAUGACGGUACCGGAAGAAUAAGCACCGGCUAACUACGUG
rnacentral:rRNA from 1 species